rnacentral:rRNA from 1 species
CGGGACCGGGGUACGGGAGUAACGACGUGGCGAAACCUGGCCUGUACAGGGGGAUAACACUUAGAAAUAGGUGCUAAUACCGCAUAACGGGGGAAGCCGCAUGGCUUUUCCCUGAAAACUCCGGUGGUACAGGAUGGGCCCGCGUCUGAUUAGCCAGUUGGCAGGGUAACGGCCUACCAAAGCGACGAUCAGUAGCCGGCCUGAGAGGGCGGACGGCCACACUGGGACUGAGACACGGCCCAGACUCCUACGGAAGGCAGCAG